rnacentral:rRNA from 1 species
UACGGGGGGUGCGAGCGUUGUCCGGAAUCACUGGGCGUAAAGGGCGCGUAGGUGGUCUUGUAAGUCUGUGGUGAAAGCCCGGGGCUCAACCCCGGGUCUGCCGUGGAUACUGUGAGACUUGAGUACUGUAGAGGCAGGUAGAAUAUCGGGUGUAGCGGUGGAAUGCGUAGAGAUCCGAUAGAAGACCGGUGGCGAAGGCGGCCUGCUGGGCAGUAACUGACACUGAGGCGCGACAGCGUGGGGGAGCAAACAGG